GAGGGUAUAGCUCAAGUGGUAGAGCACAUGCUUAGCAUGAACAAGGUCCUGGGUUCAAUCCCAGUACCUCCU
rnacentral:tRNA from 1 species